rnacentral:misc_RNA from 1 species
GCUAAUCUACUAUAGAAUUGAAAG